rnacentral:rRNA from 1 species
CUUUGCUGAGGAUACGGUUAACGGAGCGAAAGCGACGUUCAACCGCAAAACAAGCAGAGGGGGCUUAGUGGUGGGGUGACUGCGUACCUUUUGUAUAAUGGGUCAGCGACUUAUAUUCUGUAGCAAGGUUAACCGUAUAGGGGAGCCGGAGGGAAACCGAGUCUUAAUUGGGCGUUAAGUUGCAGGGUAUAGACCCGAAACCCGGUGAUCUAGCCAUGGGCAGGUUGAAGGUUGGGUAACACUAACUGGAGGACCGAACCGACUAAUGUUGAAAAAUUAGCGGAUGACCUGUGGCUGGGGGUGAAAGGCCAAUCAAACCGGGAGAUAGCUGGUUCUCCCCGAAAGCUAUUUAGGUAGCGCCUCGUGAAUUCAUCUCCGGGGGUAGAGCACUGUUUCGGCUAGGGGGCCAUCCCGGCUUACCAACCCGAUGCAAACUGCGAAUACCGGAGAAUGUUAUCACGGGAGACACACGGCGGGUGCUAACGUCCGUCGUGAAGAGGGAAACAACCCAGACCGCCAGCUAAGGUCCCAAAGUCAUGGUUAAGUGGGAAACGAUGUGGGAAGGCCCAGACAGCCAGGAUGUUGGCUUAGAAGCAGCCAUCAUUUAAAGAAAGCGUAAUAGCUCACUGGUCGAGUCGGCCUGCGCGGAAGAUGUAACGGGGCUAAACCAUGCACCGAAGCUGCGGCAGCGAACGUAUCACCCAAGACAACUUUACGGAGUUGACGAUUGACGGAGCGAAGCGACGUCAAAGCGUUCAUUAAAGUCGAGUUGGCUUAGGGAUACGUUCGUUGGGUAGGGGAGCGUUCUGUAAGCCUGUGAAGGUGUGUCGUGAGGCAUGCUGGAGGUAUCAGAAGUGCGAAUGCUGACAUAAGUAACGAUAAAGCGGGUGAAAAGCCCGCUCGCCGGAAGACCAAGGGUUCCUGUCCAACGUUAAUCGGGGCAGGGUGAGUCGACCCCUAAGGCGAGGCCGAAAGGCGUAGUCGAUGGGAAACGGGUUAAUAUUCCCGUACUUGGUGUUACUGCGAAGGGGGGACGGAGAAGGCUAUGUUGGCCGGGCGACGGUUGUCCCGGUUUAAGCGUGUAGGUGUGUGUUCCAGGUAAAUCCGGUUCACUUUAACACUGAGGCGUGACGACGAGGCACUACGGUGCUGAAGCAACAAAUGCCCUGCUUCCAGGAAAAGCCUCUAAGCAUCAGGUAACACGAAAUCGUACCCCAAACCGACACAGGUGGUCAGGUAGAGAAUACCAAGGCGCUUGAGAGAACUCGGGUGAAGGAACUAGGCAAAAUGGUGCCGUAACUUCGGGAGAAGGCACGCUGACACGUAGGUGAAGUGAUUUACUCAUGGAGCUGAAGUCAGUCGAAGAUACCAGCUGGCUGCAACUGUUUAUUAAAAACACAGCACUGUGCAAACACGAAAGUGGACGUAUACGGUGUGACGCCUGCCCGGUGCCGGAA